CCUACGGGAAGCAGCAGUGAGGAAUAUUGGACAAUGGGCGCAAGCCUGAUCCAGCCAUGCCGCGUGCAGGAUGAAGCAUCUAUGGUGUGUAAACUGCUUUUAUACAGGAAGAAACCUCCCGACGUGUCGGGAAUUGACGGUACUGUAAGAAUAAGGAUCGGCUAACUCCGUGCCAGCAGCCGCGGUAAUACGGAGGAUCCAAGCGUUAUCCGGAAUCAUUGGGUUUAAAGGGUCCGUAGGCGGGCCAGUAAGUCAGUGGUGAAAUCUCUCCGCUCAACGGGGAAAUGGCCAUUGAUACUGCUGGUCUUGAAUUAUUAGGAAGUAACUAGAAUAUGUAGUGUAGCGGUGAAAUGCUUAGAGAUUACAUGGAAUACCAAUUGCGAAGGCAGGUUACUACUAAUGGAUUGACGCUGAUGGACGAAAGCGUGGGUAGCGAACAGGAUUAGAUACCCUGGUAGUCCACGCCGUAAACGAUGGAUACUAGCUGUUGGGGGCAACUUCAGUGGCUAAGCGAAAGUGAUAAGUAUCCCACCUGGGGAGUACGUUCGCAAGAAUGAAACUUAAAGGAAUUGACGG
rnacentral:rRNA from 1 species